AAGCAGGAAGGACUAGGAUGGCUGCAGUCUAUUUUCAGAUGAUUUAGCCAAGGAGAAAAUAGCUGGGUGGCUGGAAGAGGAGUGUUUGAUAGGAAAUAACCUUGAAGCACAGCUCUGACAUGAUGGUGUGAGGUGUCCAGCUCCCUGCAAUGGCCCUGCUCCGUGAAAUGCCAGCAGGGAAGGUGACUUCCAGAGGAGAUGACAAAGGACAAUGCAGACAAGCAGAGCACCCAAAAUCCAGUGCAAGGGAGACUGCAGAGUGGGCUGGGUGCUCCCUGUGCUCCUGAUUUCAGCACUGACGUACACGAAGGUCCCCCUGCUCAGUUCAGGACUCUCACCAGGUGCUGAGGCAGCAGGUUGUGAGUUUGGCUGGUGUAAAUGGGUGCAGCUGAGCUGGCCGGGCUCACGGGAGCCUUUUGUACCUGUAGCUGUGCUCCUUCUUCCCCCACUAAAGGCAAAGGCACCUCCUGGGAUUUGCCCCUCACAGCUGGAGCUAGCUGGAUGCUCCUUUGGCACAAGGGAGAUGCCAGCAUUCCUAAAGGUCAUCACUUGCAUGCAGCAGCUCAUGCUGGGGAGUGUUUGCCAGCACCUACGAAAUCGAAAUGCUGAAGUGACUGCCAUCAUUUCUAUUUUCCUUGGCAGUGACAGACAGUCGCACAGCUUGCCAGCCGCCGAGCUGCCACGUUUCCAGGCUCGGGGACUCCUCCAGGGUGAAGGAGGUGCAUGCAAAGUGGUGCUUGCUGAUGAACCUGGUACCGGGUCACCUUGAGAUGGGGAUUCUCAGCUGGGCUCAGCUGCGGGCAGUGCUCCUAGAGAAACCUCUGAGCUGCCUUCAGACCAUCCUGUCCGCUGCCAUCCCGUGCCUCUGGAAAUGAGAUCCCGCUGCUCACGUCAGGUUUCCCCCAGGAGCCACGUUGCUGCCUGCUCUGGGUCUCAGAUUCAGCCAGAGAGAAAUGGAGAGUUUCUAACCAGGCAGAAGCCUGUUGGAAAAGAAUGGAAAUAAUUCUUUAUUUCUCUUGUUGUUUGCAUUGUUUGUAGUUAAGUUUUAUCAUUUUGCGUCAAGCACUCUGCACCAGCAGUGUAGGUUGUUUUCACUUUAGGAUCAAUGGAGUUGGUCUGCAUGAAACUCUAUGUAAAGAGCAGUGGAUUUUGAAUAAAAUCGGAGUUUUACUCUCAAGAACCUUUGGAGUCAGAGUCUUUUCGUUCCCGUCCUGCCCCAACAGUGUGAGCCUGCCCUGGCUCCCUGGGGCAGCAGGGCUGGGCUGCCCUGGCUGCCUCCUCCCUCCCCUUCUCCCCUUCCCCUCCCCGCUGUGCUGCUUUCCUGGGCUGCAGAAAGAGGCAGGAUUUCAUGGCAUGCUGGCAGCGUGCAAACAGCUCUGGGGAAAUAAGUUAUGGUUUCAUUUUCAUGGGGUGGCUCCCUCUUCAUGGCAAAGGAAUACUUCUGGUUUAGCUCGAGCAGUAACAGCACAACUGACACGUUUCUUUUUUCAGGAAAGAAGUGAGGAGGACACAGAGAAAUCCUUCCUUUGCCUCCUCGGUUUUUUUAGUGACUGUUUCUACUGUGGCAGUACCAAAAGUGCUGCGUAAAGUGACAGGAGGACUGUUACAGGCUGCGGCAGGCUCAGGAACCAGUUAUUUCAUGUCCUCUCUUUAGAGGUGAGCGCUAAUCUUACCCUUUCCUUUAAGAGGCUGUAACACAAGAAGACACUUAUUUGUACCUGCUGUCAUCUGCCUCUUCCUUUCGGUAUUAUUUUAAGUGAGCCUUGAAAGAGCAGGGCUGGAAAGAGCCCCCAGCUGCCUGCUGGCACUGCGCAGUGAGGCUCCCGUUUGUCCUCACAGGCUCAGAUUCCCCAGAUCCAACAGCUUCUCCCUCCCUCCACAAGGAGGAUCCUCACCUGGGAGGCACCACAGCCUCUAAGACAUUUUAUAAUAGUUUUCAUUAUUACAUUUUUCAUUAUUAAAUGAAAAUAUUAUUUAUUUUAUAAAUAUGAUAUAUUUCUAAAUAAUAUCAUAAAUAUUAUAUAUUAAAUAAAC
ensembl:lncRNA